AGUGGGAUAGCUGGGUCAAAUGGUGGUUACAUUUUCAGUUUUUCAAGGAAUCUCCAUACUGCUUUCCAGAUUGGCUGCACCAAUUUGGAGUCCCACCAACAAU
rnacentral:pre_miRNA from 1 species